UGAGUACGAGACGCUAAGGCGUUGAAGCAGUCUAUGUCAGACUUCCAAGAAAAGCUCGCAAUGUCAUAAACAAAAAUGCCUGUACCAUAACCGACACAGGUGGGUAGGUAGAGUAUACUAAGGGGCGCGAGAUAACUCUCUCUAAGGAACUCGGCAAAAUGACUCCGUAACUUCGGGAGAAGGAGUGCCUUAUUUUUAUAAGGUUGCAAUAACAAGAUCCAAGCAACUGUUUACCAAAAACACAGGUCUCCGCUAAGUCGUAAGACGAUGUAUGGGGGCUGACGCCUGCCCAGUGCCAGAAGGUUAAAGAAGUUGGUUAGUUUCGGCGAAGCUGAUGACUGAAGCCCUGGUGAACGGCGGCCGUAACGAUAACGGUCCUAAGGUAGCGAAAUUCCUUGUCGGGUAAGUUCCAACCCGCACGAAAGGCGUAAUGAUUUGGAUACUGUCUCGGAGAGGGGCUCGGUGAAAUAGACUUGUCUGUGAAGAUGCGGACUACCUGCACCUGGACAGAAAGACCCUAUGAAGCUUUACUGUAACUUGAGAUUGAAAUUGGACUUUAUUUGCGCAGUAUAGGUGGGAGACGUUGAGAAUAUUCUUGCGGGAAUAUUGGAGUCAUCAGUGAGAUACCACUCUUGUAAUGUUAGAUUUCUAACUUUGUAUCAUUAUCUGGUCAAAGGACAGUUUCAGGCGGGCAGUUUGACUGGGGCGGUCGCCUCCCAAACGGUAACGGAGGCGCACAAAGGUUUCCUCUGAACGUGUAGAAAUCGUAUCUAGAGUGUAAAGGCAUAAGGAAGCUUGACUGUGAGACCUACAAGUCGAGCAGGGACGAAAGUCGGUCUUAGUGAUCUGACGGUGCUGAGUGGAAAGGCCGUCACUCAACGGAUAAAAGUUACUCUAAGGAUAACAGGCUGAUCUCCCCCAAGAGUUCACAUCGACGGGGAGGUUUGGCACCUCGAUGUCGGCUCAUCGCAUCCUGGGGCGGUAGUACGUCCCAAGGGUUGGGCUGUUCGCCCAUGAAAGCGGUACGCGAGCUGGGUUCAGAACGUCGUGAGACAGUUCGGUCCAUAUCCGGUGUAGGCGUUAGAAUAUUGAGAGGAGCCUUCUUUAGUACGAGAGGACCGAGAAGGACAUACCUCUGGUGUACCAGUUAUCGUGCCAACGGUAAACGCUGGGUAGCUAUGUAUGGAGUGGAUAACCGCUGAAAGCAUCUAAGUGGGAAGCCCACCUCAAGAUAAGUAUUCUC
rnacentral:rRNA from 1 species